GGAUAACAGCUGGAAACGGCUGCUUAAUACCGCAUAAGCGCACAGAGCUGCAUAGCUCAGUGUGAAAAACUCCGGUGGUAUGGGAUGGGCCCGCGUCUGAUUAGGCAGUUGGCGGGGUAACGGCCCACCAAACCGACGAUCAGUAGCCGGCCUGAGAGGGCGACCGGCCACAUUGGGACUGAGACACGGCCCAAACUCCUACGGGAGGCAGCAGUGGGGAAUAUUGCACAAUGGGGGAAACCCUGAUGCAGCGACGCCGCGUGAGCGAAGAAGUAUUUCGGUAUGUAAAGCUCUAUCAGCAGGGAAGAUAAUGACGGUACUCAACAAGGAAGUGACGGCUAACUACGUGCCAGCAGCCGCGGUAAAACGUAGGUCACAAGCGUUGUCCGGAAUUACUGGGUGUAAAGGGAGCGCAGGCGGGAAGACAAGUUGGAAGUGAAAUCCAUGGGCUCAACCCAUGAACUGCUUUCAAAACUGUUUUUCUUGAGUAGUGCAGAGGUAGGCGGAAUUCCCGGUGUAGCGGUGGAAUGCGUAGAUAUCGGGAGGAACACCAGUGGCGAAGGCGGCCUACUGGGCACCAACUGACGCUGAGGCUCGAAAGUGUGGGUAGCAAACAGGAUUAGAUACCCUGGUAGUCCACACUGUAAACGAUGAUUACUAGGUGUUGGAGGAUUGCCCCCUUCAGUGCCGCAGUUAACACAAUAAGUAAUCCACAUGGGGAGUACGACGGCAAGGUUGAAACUCAAAGGAAUUGACGGGGGCCCGCACAAGCAGUGGAGUAUGUGGUUUAAUUCGACGCAACGCGAAGAACCUUACCAAGUCUUGACAUCCUGCGACGAUGCUGGAAACAGUACUUUCCUUCGGGACGCAGAGACAGGUGGUGCAUGGUUGUCGUCAGCUCGUGUCGUGAGAUGUUGGGUUAAGUCCCGCAACGAGCGCAACCCUUAUGGUCAGUUACUACGCAAGAGGACUCUGGCCAGACUGCCGUUGACAAAACGGAGGAAGGUGGGGAUGACGUCAAAUCAUCAUGCCCUUUAUGACUUGGGCUACACACGUACUACAAUGGCGUUAAACAAAGAGAAGCAAGACCGCGAGGUGGAGCAAAACUCAGAAACAACGUCCCAGUUCGGACUGCAGGCUGCAACUCGCCUGCACGAAGUCGGAAUUGCUAGUAAUCGCAGAUCAGCAUGCUGCGGUGAAUACGUUCCCGGGCCUUGCACUCACCGCCCGUCA
rnacentral:rRNA from 1 species